rnacentral:lncRNA from 1 species
UAAAGUUUAAUUGAAGAAAGAGUUUUAUGUGAUCCAGCUGUGAGGCAAGUUUGAUGGUGCUUGAAUGAGCAUUAGUUGCAAUUGAUGCUUAUUGCUUUGACUGCAUGAUGGUGCCCGUGAUGCUGUUGUAGUGACUUAGUGAGUUUCAGCUUUGGAUGGAAUUUGUUUUGUUUAGUCUGCAUUGUGCUCCAACUGAUGAUUGAAAACUUUACACUUUGGCAGAACAUUGCUUGGUAGCUCUUCCCUUUUCUGCUAUUUUUAUAUCACGUGAAUCAUUGCACAUUUAAGCCAUCUGCAAGGCCUGAAUGGAAUGAGAUAAAACGCUGCCAUCCCUUAGACUGACACUUGAAAAGCUACUAUUCACUUGGAGUUUAUUCUUGAUUAUCCUUUAUAUUUUAAAGUUUCAAGCUUCAUUUCAAGAUUGUUGCUAACAACUUUGAGCUAGAAGUAUCUCUGAUUCAGUUUCUUUUAGCCUGAACAUUGGGCCAAAGGGAGGAGAUUCAUCCUGUGUCAACCAGAAGAUUCUGCUUAAGACUCCAUUCUCUCUCAAUUAAGAUAAUAAGAACAGCAAGUUCUACUCCUGUUUUAAAACAGACAGAAGGUGGAGCACAGACAGACGGCCAGCAGUCACAGACACAAAGUAGUGAAAAUUCAGAGAGUAAAUCUACCCCUAAACGACUGCAUGUCUCUAAUAUUCCUUUUCGCUUCCGGGACCCUGACCUCCGACAAAUGUUUGGGGUAAGUCUCCAAAGUCCUUAUGAAUUUUACCAUUAAAAUAGGUUUUAAUCUGGGCUGGGGAUUUAGCUCAGUGAUUCUACUGCCUCAUAAAUGAGUUC